rnacentral:rRNA from 1 species
GAUGAACGCUAGCGGCAGGCCUAAUACAUGCAAGUCGAACGGUGUAGCAAUACACAGUGGCGCACGGGUGCGUAACACGUAUGCAACCUACCUUACAUUGGGGGAUAGCCUUUCGAAAGGGAGAUUAAUACCGCAUAAGACAGUAACUAGGCAUCUAGUAGCUGUUAAAGAUUUAUCGAUGUAAGCUGGGCAUGCGUCCAAUUAGUUAGUUGGCGAGGUAAUGGCUCACCAAGACGAUGAUUGGUAGGGGAACUGAGAGGUCAAUCCCCCACACUGGCACUGUGAUACGGGCCAGACUCCUACGGGAGGCAGCAGUAGGGAAUAUUGGGCAAUGGGCGCAAGCCUGACCCAGCCAUGCCGCGUGCAGGAAGAAGGCGUUAUGCGUUGUAAACUGCUUUUAUACAGGAAGAAACGACCCUUGCGAGGGGCAUUGACGGUACUGUAUGAAUAAGCACCAGCUAACUCCGUGCCAGCCGCCGCGGUAAUAC